rnacentral:tRNA from 1 species
GAGGCUAUAGCUCAGUGGUAGAGCGCAUGCUUACUUACCAUGCAUGAGGUCCUGGGUUCAAUCCCCAGCACCUCCA